CAGAAAAAGCUGUUCAGUAUACAAGUCAGUCUGUUAAACACUUCACACGUUCUUAGAUUUUACAUCCUUAUGAUGGAAACCAUUUAUGAAAAUUUUGAACCUAAAGAUCCUGUCUGCCAGGUUUACACAUCAAAUCCACCAGCCUCCAUCAAGUCCAACAGGAGAUGCUAUCUCUGUGUUAUUACUUACAUGGUGAUGCUGAGUGUUCUUCUUCUGGCUGGACUCGUGAUUAUCGGCCUCUUCUGGAAAACAAGAUGUCCUGAGAAAUGGAUCAGAUUUGGUUCCUCUUGUUACUUCUUAUCUGGAGAGUCUAAGUCCUGGGAUGAAGCAAGAGAGUCCUGCAGAGCAAGAAAAGCUGAUCUGGUGGUGAUAAACACUGAAGGC